rnacentral:rRNA from 1 species
UACGUGAGGUGCAAGCGUUGUUCGGAAUUAUUGGGCGUAAAGAGCACGUAGGCGGGAUAGUGUGUCGUUUGUGAAAUCCCAGGGCUUAACCCUGGAAUUGCAGUCGAAACUGCUGUUCUUGAAUACUUGAGAGGGUGGGGGAAUUCCUGGUGAAGCAGUGAAAUGCGUAGAUAUCAGGAGGAACAUCAGAGGCGAAGGCGCCUACCUGGCAAGAUAUUGACGCUGAGGUGCGAAAGCGUGGGUAGCAAACAGG